GACGAACGCUGGCGGCGUGCUUAACACAUGCAAGUCGAACGGAAAGGCCCUGCUUUUGUGGGGUGCUCGAGUGGCGAACGGGUGAGUAACACGUGAGUAACCUGCCCUUGACUUUGGGAUAACUUCAGGAAACUGGGGCUAAUACCGGAUAUGAGCUCCUGCUGCAUGGUGGGGGUUGGAAAGUUUCGGCGGUUGGGGAUGGACUCGCGGUUUCUCAGCUUGUUGGUGGGGUAGUGGCUUACCAUGGCCUUGACGGGUAGCCGGCCUGAGAGGGUGACCGGCGACAUUGCGACUGCGAUGCGGCCCAGACUCCUACGGGGGACAGCAGUGGGAAUUAUUGCACAAUGCGCGCAAGCCUGAUGCAGCAACGCCGCGUGCGGGAUACCGGCCUUCGGGUUGUAAACCGCUUUCGCCUGUGACGAAGCGUGAGUGACGGUAAUGGGUAAAGAAGCACCGGCUAACUACGUG
rnacentral:rRNA from 1 species